UACGUAGGGUGCGAGCGUUAAUCGGAAUUACUGGGCGUAAAGCGUGCGCAGGCGGCUUCGCAAGUCAGACGUGAAAUCCCCGGGCUUAACCUGGGAAUGGCGUUUGAAACUACGGAGCUGGAGUGUGGCAGAGGGAGGUAGAAUUCCACGUGUAGCGGUGAAAUGCGUAGAUAUGUGGAGGAACACCGAUGGCGAAGGCAGCCCCCUGGGUUAACACUGACGCUCAGGCACGAAAGCGUGGGGAGCAAACAGG
rnacentral:rRNA from 1 species